rnacentral:rRNA from 1 species
CCCUUAGAUGUCCUGGGCCGCACGCGUGCUACACUGACGCAUACAACGAGUAUUUCCAGCUCCGAGAGGUAGCUGGUAAUCAGCAAUAUGCGUCGUGAUGGGGAUUGAUCUUUGGAAUUGUGGAUCAUGAACGAGGAAUGCCUAGUAAGCGCAGUUCAUCAAACUGCGUUGAUUAAGUCCCUGCCCUUUGUACACACCGCCCGUCGCUCCUACCGAUUUCGAGUGGUCCGGUGAGCCUUUUGGAGAGUGAGCGUCCUUGAGGCGCUUGCUCGAAGUCAGGCAAAUCUUACUACUUAGAGGAAGGAUAAGUCGUAACA